AUUGAACGCUGGCGGCAUGCUUUACACAUGCAAGUCGAGCGGAUGAAGGGGGCUUGCUCCUGGAUUCAGCGGCGGACGGGUGAGUAAUGCGCAGGAAUCUACCUCGUAGUGGGGGAUAACGUCUCGAAAGGGGCGCUAAUACCGCAUACGUUCUGAGGAAGAAAGCAGGGGACCUUCGGGCCUUGCGCUAUGAGAUGAGCUUGCGUCCGAUUAGCUAGUUGGUGGGGUAAAGGCCUACCAAGGCGACGAUCGGUAACUGGUCUGAGAGGAUGAUCAGUCACACUGGAACUGAGACACGGUCCAGACUCCUACGGGAGGCAGCAGUGGGGAAUAUUGGACAAUGGGGGCAACCCUGAUCCAGCCAUGCCGCGUGUGUGAAGAAGGCC
rnacentral:rRNA from 1 species